CGGCGGACGGGUGAGUAACGCGUGGGUAACCUGCCUCAUACAGGGGGAUAACAGUUGGAAACGGCUGCUAAUACCGCAUAAGCGCACAGUACCGCAUGGUACGGUGUGAAAAACUCCGGUGGUAUGAGAUGGACCCGCGUCUGAUUAGGUAGUUGGUGGGGUAACGGCCUACCAAGCCGACGAUCAGUAGCCGACCUGAGGGGGUGACCGGCCACAUUGGGACUGAGACACGGCCCAA
rnacentral:rRNA from 1 species